AUUGAACGCUGGCGGAAUGCUUUACACAUGCAAGUCGAACGGCAGCACGGACUUCGGUCUGGUGGCGAGUGGCGAACGGGUGAGUAAUGUAUCGGAACGUGCCCAGGCGUGGGGGAUAACGUAGUGAAAAUUACGCUAAUACCGCAUACGAUCUAUGGAUGAAAGCGGGGGAUCGCAAGACCUCGCGCGAUUGGAGGGGCCGAUAUCAGAUUAGGUAGUUGGUGGGGUAAAGGCCUACCAAGCCAACGAUCUGUAGCUGGUCUGAGAGGACGACCAGCCACACUGGAACUGAGACACGGUCCAGACUCCUACGGGAGGCAGCAGUGGGGAAUUUUGGACAAUGGGCGAAAGCCUGAUCCAGCCAUUCCGCGUGCAGGAUGAAGGCCCUCGGGUUGUAAACUGCUUUUGUACAGAACGAAAAGGUUUCUACUAAUACUAGGAGCUCAUGACGGUACUGUAAGAAUAAGCACCGGCUAACCACGUGCCAGCCGCUGCCGUAA
rnacentral:rRNA from 1 species